rnacentral:rRNA from 1 species
AACGAACGCUGGCGGCAUGCCUAACACAUGCAAGUCGAACGACACCUUCGGGUCUAGUGGCGCACGGGUACGUAACGCGUGGGAACCUGCCCUUAGGUUCGGAAUAACUCCCCUAAGGGGGUGCUAAUACCGGAUAAUGUCUUCGGACCAAAGAUUUAUCGCCGUUGGAUGGGCCCGCGUUGGUUUAGCUAGUUGGUAGGGUAAAAGCCUACCAAGGCGACGAUCCAUAGCUGGUCUGAGAGGAUGAUCAGCCACACUGGGACUGAGACACGGCCCAGACUCCUACGGGAGGCAGCAGUGGGGAAUAUUGGACAAUGGGCGAAAGCCUGAUCCAGCAAGGCCGGGUGAGUGAUGAAGGCCUUAGGGUAGUAAAGCUCUUUUACCCGGGAUGAUAAUGACAGUACCGGGAGAAUAAGCACCGGCUAACUCCGUG